rnacentral:rRNA from 1 species
UUUGGUUAAGUUAGAAAGGGCGCACGGUGGAUGCCUUGACACUAGGAGUCGAUGAAGGACGGGACUAACGCCGAUAUGCUUCGGGGAGCUGUAAGUAAGCUUUGAUCCGAAGAUUUCCGAAUGGGGAAACCCACCAUACGUAAUGGUAUGGUAUCCUUAUCUGAAUACAUAGGGUAAGGAAGACAGACCCAGGGAACUGAAACAUCUAAGUACCUGGAGGAAGAGAAAGCAAAUGCGAUUUCCUGAGUAGCGGCGAGCGAAACGGAACAUAGCCCAAACCAAGAGGCUUGUCUCUUGGGGUUGUAGGACAUUCUAUACGGAGUUACAAAGGAACGAGGUAGACGAAGCGACCUGGAAAGGUCCGUCGUAGAGGGUAACAACCCCGUAGUCGAAACUUCGUUCUCUCUUGAAUGUAUCCUGAGUACGGCGGAACACGUGAAAUUCCGUCGGAAUCUGGGAGGACCAUCUCCCAAGGCUAAAUACUCCCUAGUGAUCGAUAGUGAACCAGUACCGUGAGGGAAAGGUGAAAAGCACCCCGGAAGGGGAGUGAAAGAGAUCCUGAAACCGUGUGCCUACAAAUAGUCAGAGCCCGUUAACGGGUGAUGGCGUGCCUUUUGUAGAAUGAACCGGCGAGUUACGAUCCCGUGCGAGGUUAAGCUGAAGAGGCGGAGCCGCAGCGAAAGCGAGUCUGAAUAGGGCGUUUAGUACGUGGUCGUAGACCCGAAACCAGGUGAUCUACCCAUGUCCAGGGUGAAGUUCAGGUAACACUGAAUGGAGGCCCGAACCCACGCACGUUGAAAAGUGCGGGGAUGAGGUGUGGGUAGCGGAGAAAUUCCAAUCGAACCUGGAGAUAGCUGGUUCUCCCCGAAAUAGCUUUAGGGCUAGCCUUAAGUGUAAGAGUCUUGGAGGUAGAGCACUGAUUGGACUAGGGGUCCUCAUCGGAUUACCGAAUUCAGUCAAACUCCGAAUGCCAAUGACUUAUCCUUAGGAGUCAGACUGCGAGUGAUAAGAUCCGUAGUCAAAAGGGAAACAGCCCAGACCGCCAGCUAAGGUCCCAAAGUGUGUAUUAAGUGGAAAAGGAUGUGGAGUUGCUUAGACAACUAGGAUGUUGGCUUAGAAGCAGCCACCAUUUAAAGAGUGCGUAAUAGCUCACUAGUCGAGUGACUCUGCGCCGAAAAUGUACCGGGGCUAAAUACACCACCGAAGCUGCGGAUUGAUACCGAAUGGUAUCAGUGGUAGGGGAGCGUUCUAAGGACAGUGAAGUCAGACCGGAAGGACUGGUGGAGUGCUUAGAAGUGAGAAUGCCGGUAUGAGUAGCGAAAGACGGGUGAGAAUCCCGUCCACCGAAUGCCUAAGGUUUCCUGAGGAAGGCUCGUCCGCUCAGGGUUAGUCAGGACCUAAGCCGAGGCCGACAGGCGUAGGCGAUGGACAACAGGUUGAUAUUCCUGUACCACCUCUUUAUCGUUUGAGCAAUGGAGGGACGCAGAAGGAUAGAAGAAGCGUGCGAUUGGUUGUGCACGUCCAAGCAGUUAGGCUGAUAAGUAGGCAAAUCCGCUUAUCGUAAAGGCUGAGCUGUGAUGGGGAAGCUCCUUAUGGAGCGAAGUCUUUGAUUCCCCGCUGCCAAGAAAAGCUUCUAGCGAGAUAAAAGGUGCCUGUACCGCAAACCGACACAGGUAGGCGAGGAGAGAAUCCUAAGGUGUGCGAGAGAACUCUGGUUAAGGAACUCGGCAAAAUGACCCCGUAACUUCGGGAGAAGGGGUGCUUUCUUAACGGAAAGCCGCAGUGAAUAGGCCCAAGCGACUGUUUAGCAAAAACACAGCUCUCUGCGAAGCCGUAAGGCGAAGUAUAGGGGGUGACACCUGCCCGGUGCUGGAAGGUUAAGGAGAGGGGUUAGCGUAAGCGAAGCUCUGAACUGAAGCCCCAGUAAACGGCGGCCGUAACUAUAACGGUCCUAAGGUAGCGAAAUUCCUUGUCGGGUAAGUUCCGACCCGCACGAAAGGUGUAACGAUUUGGGCACUGUCUCAACCAGAGACUCGGUGAAAUUAUAGUACCUGUGAAGAUGCAGGUUACCCGCGACAGGACGGAAAGACCCCGUGGAGCUUUACUGUAGCCUGAUAUUGAAUUUUGGUACAGUUUGUACAGGAUAGGCGGGAGCCUUUGAAACCGGAGCGCUAGCUUCGGUGGAGGCGCUGGUGGGAUACCGCCCUGACUGUAUUGAAAUUCUAACCUACGGGUCUUAUCGACCCGGGAGACAGUGUCAGGUGGGCAGUUUGACUGGGGCGGUCGCCUCCUAAAGUGUAACGGAGGCGCCCAAAGGUUCCCUCAGAAUGGUUGGAAAUCAUUCGUAGAGUGCAAAGGCAUAAGGGAGCUUGACUGCGAGACCUACAAGUCGAGCAGGGACGAAAGUCGGGCUUAGUGAUCCGGUGGUUCCGCAUGGAAGGGCCAUCGCUCAACGGAUAAAAGCUACCCGGGGAUAACAGGCUUAUCUCCCCCAAGAGUCCACAUCGACGGGGAGGUUUGGCACCUCGAUGUCGGCUCAUCGCAUCCUGGGGCUGUAGUCGGUCCCAAGGGUUGGGCUGUUCGCCCAUUAAAGCGGUACGCGAGCUGGGUUCAGAACGUCGUGAGACAGUUCGGUCCCUAUCCGUCGUGGGCGUAGGAAAUUUGAGAGGAGCUGUCCUUAGUACGAGAGGACCGGGAUGGACGCACCGCUGGUGUACCAGUUGUUCUGCCAAGGGCAUAGCUGGGUAGCUAUGUGCGGAAGGGAUAAGUGCUGAAAGCAUCUAAGCAUGAAGCCCCCUCAAGAUGAGAUUUCCCAUAGCGUAAGCUAGUAAGAUCCCUGAAAGAUGAUCAGGUUGAUAGGUUCGAGGUGGAAGCAUGGUGACAUGUGGAGCUGACGAAUACUAAUAGAUCGAGGACUUAACCAUAUAA